AGGGUGUAAACGCUGCGGGCUUGGUGUUGGGGUCUUGAGGGCGCCCAGUGCCGGAGAGAAGUUGUUAAGCCUGCUGCUUGGGGAGUACGUCCGCAAGGAUGAAACUUAAAGGAAUUGGCGGGGGAGCACCGCAACGGGAGGAGCUUGCGGUUUAAUUGGAUUCAACGCCGGAAAUCUUACCGGGACCGACAGCAACAUGAAGGCCAAGCUGAAGACUUUGCCGGAUUAGCUGAGAGGUGGUGCAUGGCGUGUGACUGU
rnacentral:rRNA from 1 species